GACGAACGCUGGCGGCGUGCUUAACACAUGCAAGUCGAACGGUAAGGCCCCUUCGGGGUACGACGAGUGGCGAACGGGUGAGUAACACGUGAGCAACCUGCCCUUCGACUCUGGAAUAACAGUUGGAAACAGCUGCUAAUACCGGGUAUGACCUGUCAUCGCAUGGUGGUGGGUGGAAAGUUCUGGCGGUCAGGGAUGGGCUCGCGGCCUAUCAGCUAGUUGGUGAGGUAAUGGCUCACCAAGGCUUCGACGGGUAGCCGGCCUGAGAGGGCGACCGGCCACACUGGGACUGAGAUACGGCCCAGACUCCUACGGGAGGCAGCAGUGGGGAAUAUUGCACAAUGGGCGAAAGCCUGAUGCAGCAACGCCGCGUGCGGGAUGACGGCC
rnacentral:rRNA from 1 species